AUACUUACCUGCCAGGGGGAAUACCACGAUCAAGAAGGUGUUUUCCUCAGGGUGAGGCUCUUCCUUUGCACAUUUCGUUUGGGUUAAUAAGGGUCUUAGAACCUGAAAGUGCUUAUCUAUUAUUUCUUUUAUGCUUUUACUGAUGGAAUGAACAGUU